CGGGAUAGGGGUUGGGAAGGGACACAGAUCCACCCGGCACCGUUCUGGGAAUCCUGUGCCACUGACGCUGAUCCCACUUUGUUUCCACAGGGAGGAGGGACAGGAAUGGAUACCGGCAGCCGGAAGGGACAUGGGAACCAGCAUCUAGACCACAGGAAUCACUGCCUGAGCAAUCCACGGAGCUGGAUCCAGCCCCUUCCCUCUUCUCAGGAAAUCUGAGAGCUGCCACCGGAGCUGAUCCUGCUGCUCCCACUCACCUCAUAACUUUUCCUGACAAAUCGGUUUCCGAUAUUCCAGUGUUUUAAAGGCAAGAACCACAAAUAUUCAUAAUUCUUCACUUCUGGUGUGAAAUGAUCCUGCUUUGGGCAAUAAAUCCUGCUUGGGGCAAUAAAUCCAGAUUCCCUCC